CUUUCUCUCUCUCUCCCCCCACUCUCACUCUAACUGUUAUUCCCGAGGCAAGACCAAGAAGGAACAUAGCUUUACUUGGUGCAAGCGAGUACUAAGCAAUCUCCACAACAUAAUUCCUUUCCAUUAGUGGCUUUUCAUUUUAUUUGCAUGCUCCAGGAUAAGGUUUUGCAUACCCAAUUGUAUUUCUCUUGGCUGAAGUAACACGUGGAAAACUUUUCAAAGCAAAGUUCGUUUUACCGGGCGGAGAGUAUUCGCAUAAGAGUUUAAAGGAGGCUAAUGCAAGUAGGUACAAUGGAUCUUGUGACAUUGGUGGUGUUUGGAUCGUGGCUGGCUCCUGCACUCGUUGCUUCCCCUUUCUUUAGCUUGUGUUUUAAAGUCCCUCCACGCUAAAUGAGCUGAUGUCUCUGUAUAACAGGAUCAGCAUUUGGCAGGGAGGUGAUCGCCUCAGCGGAAAAUGCGGACAAAGACUAUGACAGUCCUUUUGAAUACGAUUAUGAGUCGCUGAGAAUCGGGGGCCUUGUGUUUGCAGUGGUACUGUUCGUGCUGGGUAUCGUCCUCAUUGUCACCAAAAAAUGUAGCUGUUCGAGUGACAAGCCAAGACCGAAGGCUCCUGAUGAGGAAACAGCUGUUCCAAUUGCUCAGUAGACGCAGAGGCAAAGAGCAGUGGAGAUGAGUGCUACUGUCUGUCCACUAGAUGGCAGCAAAUACCUUGAUCAAAGCUGAGGACAAUCUUUCCAUGAACACAAGAAGCUUGCUUUAAUUUCAUAAUGUUACUGUGCUUGUUAUAUUUUCUUUAUAAAUGUUUUUAUUAUCAAAGACUGUUACUACAAAGUGUGCAAACUUUAAAUGGUAUCAAUAGUGUGAUUCUCAUUUGUAUUUUUUGACCUGACGAUUGAUGCAAAAAUAAUAAAACACAUUUUUGAAAAGGUU